UCCUACGGGGGGCAGCAGUGGGGGAUAUUGCACAAUGGGGGGAACCCUGAUGCAGCGACGCCGCGUGGGUGAAGGAGCGUUUCGGCGCGUAAAGCCCUAUCGGCAGGGAAGAAGAUGACGGUACCUGACCAAGAAGCCCCGGCUAACUACGUGCCAGCAGCCGCGGUAAUAUGUAGGGGGCAAGCGUUAUCCGGAUUUACUGGGUGUAAAGGGGGCGCAGACGGCAAUGCAAGCCAGGAGUGAAAGCCCGGGGCCCAACCCCGGGACUGCUCUUGGAAUUGCGUGGCUGGAGGGCAGGCGGGGCG
rnacentral:rRNA from 1 species